rnacentral:rRNA from 1 species
UGGUGGAGUGAUUUGUCUGGUUAAUUCCGAUAACGAACGAGACCUUAACCUGCUAAAUAGUUCUGGCGGUAGUUUUUUAGGCUACCGACCAGGCCAAAAUUUUUGGCUUUAAAAACUUCUUAGAGGGACAGCUAGCAAAAAGCUAGUGGAAGUUUGAGGCAAUAACA